AACGAACGCUGGCGGCAUGCCUAACACAUGCAAGUUGAACGAGAUCUUCGGGUCUAGCGGCGCACGGGUGCGUAACGCGUGGGAAUCUGCCCUUUGGUUCGGAAUAACAGUUGGAUACGACUGCCAAUACCGGAUGAUGACGAAAGUCAAAAGAUUUAUCGCCAGAGGAUGAGCCCGCGUAAGGUUAGCUAGUUGGUGUGGUAAAGGCGCACCAAGGCGACGAUCCUUAGCUGGUCUGAGAGGAUGAACAGCCACACUGGGACUGAGACACGGCCCAGACUCCUACGGGAGGCAGCAGUGGGGAAUAUUGGACAAUGGGCGAAAGCCUGAUCCAGCAAUGCCGCGUGAGUGAUGAAGGCCUUAGGGUUGUAAAGCUCUUUUACCCGGGAUGAUAAUGACAGUACCGGGAGAAUAAGCUCCGGCUAACUCCGUGCCAGCAGCCGCCGUAACAC
rnacentral:rRNA from 1 species